rnacentral:lncRNA from 1 species
CUCACAUUGCACAUUGCUCGAAGAUGCUUGUGAAACGAAAGAGCAAGAAUUGAAAAUCCAACUAAUGACUCUCCUUCAAACAAUUCAAGCACAGCGUGGUCUAGCAACUCAAGGUCUCACACAUAAACAACUCAAGGUCUCACACAUAAAGGCUAGCUCACGCUUCAAAUAAAAAUGCACAACUCACAUUGCUCGAAGAUGCUUGUGAGACGAAGUUAGUACAGCCACUGCCAAGUGGAACAGGCAGCAACGGCCUAGGUCCGGACCUGAGCUCCG